GUAAAACAAAACGUAACUUCAGUACACUACCUAUAGCACUCAUAGCCUCAAAUUAAAAUAUCAUAUACGCAAAUGGAUCCCGUCUUCAAGACUUUACGAAACCGAGUGGUGAUGUAUCAUACUCCAACGAAAAGGGCGUAUCAUCGCAGGACCGAAGAUCAGCCGAAUGCAGUCGUAUUGACUGGAGAUCCUGACACCUAUGAUACAGCUGAUAUCACCGGAGACUCAACAAAUCCUCCAGCUGUUCUCGAUAAUCAAUCUUACCAAAGUAUUGAACCCACUGAGUCCGUUAAAAAUGAAUCGCAUGAAACUGGAAGAUAUGUGUCCGUUCAAAAUGAAUCGAGUGAAACUGAAAGUGAUGAUAAUGAUCUCUCCAUUGUUUUUGACUCAAGAGAUCCCAUUGAAUAUUUGGACCUCACCGGCCAUUGGAAUCAAUAAUUUUCUUUGAACCCUAGUUGAACUUCGAACCCUUGGUGCAACAGAAAAAGAGGACAAAUUCCAUUAACUCCAGAUGUUCAGCGUAUUUCUCUUGAAAGGACAACUAGAAAUAUGAGUUACAUAAAACCUACAAAGGGAUUUAUCUACAAGGAGGCUUUGCUGCAUUUAUUGAUAAGCAAUUGAUGGUGUAUAUAUUUUUUAUCAGUGAUUUAUGCGAACAAAGCUCUUGUUCAUUUGAUGUUUAUUAUUUGUGUUAGUUCACUAUGCUGAAGUCAAAAUUUCCAUGCUCACAGUGCAAUUAAUUGCCGUUAAUAACAUGGACUUAACUUUAUAAAUAACUAGGUGGCUGCCACAUAAAUUUAUCAGAAAGUUGACCCCUCACCUCAGCGCCGCAAUGUAUGCAACAAGUUUUUGCAUUCGCACGCCGGCUGAGGCUUGUGAUGCGAUCCCAUAAAUUAAACUGGCUAAAACCGGAGAAAAGGAAGGCAAACGUCACCGAAACAGGAAAAAAGAAGCGCAUGGCCAGAGCAAACUCAGUCCGCAGAAGCCGCAAACAUGCAAACCCAAAAAAAAAGGGGGGCGACAUGGGCGUGGGAAGGGGGGACACCGGAUGCCAGGGAUAGAAUGCAGCACCAACUAAGCACGUGUCAAGAGUGCGGCCCAAGUUUUAAUUUGCCGGAGGCAUCCACUAACAUCCUAUGCCCCGAAUCGCCACUGGAAGAACUUCAAUGCAUUUAUAUAUGUACUUUAUAUUUUUUAAACAUAAUUAUUUCAGUUUCAAAACUACACACAUUACACAGGCAUAUAAGAAAUGCAUCUUGUUAGCUGAUUCACAAUCUAAAUCUGUUUACAAUCUAAAUCUGUUUCAUUAAAAUGUUGUUGCGAAUA
rnacentral:sRNA from 1 species